GUGCCAAGUUCCUUACGUCUACAGCCUUGUGAGGCUUGCGUGUUUGUUUUUAUUCAACACAUAUAUGGCACUUAGAAUUUUUUACUACGGUAAAUUUUGUAAUUACACUCAAACCAGCAAGCCGCAUCAUACAACCAAAAUUAAUGUGACAAAGCCUCGAAUGCCAAACAUUUGAUUCAUCAACAUUAAUCACAUUUUUCACUACAUUAUUACAAUCCUCAUUUGAUUCAUCAACAUUAAUCACAUUUUUCACUACAUUAUUACAAUCCUCCGACAAAGACAAAUGAAAUAAACCUCCACAAUUAUAACAGUUUCUAAUAAAAGUACCAAACUUGGACAUUACACAUUUAUUAGACUCAAAGACUAACUUAAAAUCAUAUCUACAUAGUAGAGAGCCUCUAACAAGAUUCUUGUGAAUGGAAGGCACAUGCUGCACGUUCUUCAACUACACGAUCUUUCUCAAAGUAAGCUUCAGAUUAGCUGUACCAACACCAAGAAUAUGCGCAUGUGAGCCAUUCCCCAUCAACAAGGAGCAAAUCCCUCCAACCUGAUAAGAAAAAAAUAAGGAAACAUCAGCACAUAUAUGAAUAUUAUCCCCCAUAUCAACCCACCAUUCAGA
rnacentral:lncRNA from 1 species